AUUGAACGCUGGCGGCAGGCCUAACACAUGCAAGUCGAACGGUAACAGGAAGCAGCUUGCUGCUUUGCUGACGAGUGGCGGACGGGUGAGUAAUGUCUGGGAAACUGCCUGAUGGAGGGGGAUAACUACUGGAAACGGUAGCUAAUACCGCAUAACGUCGCAAGACCAAAGAGGGGGACCUUAGGGCCUCUUGCCAUCGGAUGUGCCCAGAUGGGAUUAGCUAGUAGGUGGGGUAACGGCUCACCUAGGCGACGAUCCCUAGCUGGUCUGAGAGGAUGACCAGCCACACUGGAACUGAGACACGGUCCAGACUCCUACGGGAGGCAGCAGUGGGGAAUAUUGCACAAAGGGCGCAAGCCUGAUGCAGCCAUGCCGCGUGUAUGAAGAAGGCCUUCGGGUUGUAAAGUACUUUCAGCGGGGAGGAAGGGAGUAAAGUUAAUACCUUUGCUCAUUGACGGUACCCGCAGAAGAAGCACCGGCUAACUCCGUG
rnacentral:rRNA from 1 species